AAGCUGGGGUCCCAUGGAGCUGCCCUGCUCCAUGCUUGCAUGCCAUUUCUCUCAGCGUUGGAGCAGAGCCCUCAACAGUGAGCGUGGUGCUGCAGCGCAGUAAAUGUAAUUUGAAGAAGGCAGAAGGAACCCAUGGCUUUAGCCGGCUGCCCAGAUUCCUUUUUGCACCAUCCGUACUACCAGAAAAAUGCAAAAUAGGAAAUAAAAUGUGCUUGGCUACAAACUUCCGUACACAAUGUUGAACUGAGCAUUAGAAAUGAAACAACUUGCAUGUGAAUUUUAUCGUCAUUGUGAAAAUUGGAAGACACUUAUAUAAACUUUGGCAUUGUGUUUAGCACACAAAAGACCCUGUUAAAUGUGAGCCACUGUUUGGAUGAGCUG
rnacentral:lncRNA from 10 species